GAUGAACGCUAGCGGCAGGCCUAAUACAUGCAAGUCGAACGGGCGGUAGCAAUACCGCUAGUGGCGCACGGGUGCGUAACGCGUAACCAACCUGCCCAGAUCUGGGGGAUAGCCCGCCGAAAGGCGGAUUAAUACCGCAUAAACCCACAGUGUGGCAUCACAUAAUGGGUAAAGAUUUAUCGGAUCUGGAUGGGGUUGCGUAGCAUUAGCUAGUUGGCGGGGUAAUGGCCCACCAAGGCGACGAUGCUUAGGGGACCUGAGAGGGUGAUCCCCCACACUGGCACUGAGAUACGGGCCAGACUCCUACGGGAGGCAGCAGUAGGGAAUAUUGGGCAAUGGGCGAGAGCCUGACCCAGCCAUGCCGCGUGCCGGAUGAAGGCCUUCUGGGUUGUAAACGGCUUUUCUCAGGGAAGAAAACGGGGAUGCGUCCUCAACUGACGGUACCUGAGGAAUAAGCACCGGCUAACUCCGUG
rnacentral:rRNA from 1 species